rnacentral:misc_RNA from 1 species
GGACUCAACCCCGAGGUUUCUUGGGUGUUGGACUUGGGCGCUGCCUCCCGGCUCGCCCCAAAUGCGUUAGCGGUUCCGGUGUUUAAGUACCGUCGGCCCGCUCAUAUCACCAUCUUUUGAC